GUUGUUCUUGGCCUUCUUGCGGAUGAGCUGGAUGCCCUCCAGCACGUUGGUGAUGUCGUAGAUGCGCCGCUUCUGCACGUCCAGCACUUCAGCAGCCCAGUUUAGGUCCAGAACCCCAUCCUCAGACUCACUCAGGAGAUGAUACGGCUAAGGAGUGACCAGUCAUGUCAGAGCCCUGCCCAGACCUGUGGAUUCUUUACUGCUGAGACACCCUUGGAAACCCCUCAAACCAGAAUAUUGACUGAAAAUAUCAAGAGGCAGAAACUGGCUUCUGGCCCUGACUCCACUGACUAGCAGUUUGACCUUGGAAGGAGAAGUGGAGACUCAGAGAGGUUAAGCCAUGUGCCCAAGGCCACACAGACAGGACAGCCAGAGUUUGAACCCAGGUCUGUCUGACUCCAAAGCCAUGGACCAGACUGCUCAGCUCCAUCCCAUACACAUUGCCCAAGAACCUACUGAAAUUCAAGUCAAGACCUGGCUGUGUUCACCUACCCCCAUCACUACUUCACACACACACACACACCGGUCCCUUCCCUUUUCUUCCUCCCC